AAAUUGUCAAGGUUAAAAAUUUUGUAAAGAUGCAGUCUUGUUGCCUUAAGUUUUGUAGUUAACAAAUGACUGAAAUUCAAGUGCCUAAAAAUAAUUAUUUUACGAUCUGAAGUCAUGUUUGAGAAAAUGAAUCCAUUGUGUAGAGUUUAUUUGUACAAUGAGGAAGAUACGCUUUGUGUAGGUGUCGUCCAGAUAAAAAAAAAAAAAAAAAAAAUUCAAUGUUCAGAAAUGCCACAAUGAUAGGUGUGUUAUUCUUAUGAAUUAUGCACAGAAAAUGUGGCAAGAUUAAUGCCACUCCAUUGAAGGCAAUGAUCACAAGGAUCUUUGUUAAUUAAGGGUGGGACAUACGUAAAUUGGUUAUUCAAGUUUCUAAUUUUUUUUCCUUCAAGUUUCAAGUUGUUGUUGUUGAGAGGUUUGGUUGAAAUUAUACCUAGUGUAGAAGGUUGCAUUAAAAAGGGUUUUCUUUUGGGGUGGGGCAUAUUUUGAGGCCAAAGAUUUUAUUUUGCUGUUUAGGUUGCUUUCACUAUCAAGAUUUUGAAUCUGAAGUUUUGAGUUUACCUCUGAAACUAAAUGGGAGAAAAUGCAAUCUUGAUUUUUAUGAAGUCCAUUAGCAUUGUUACUGAGGUGUAGAAUGCAGUGUUUUUGCUCAUAGAAUAGUUAGUUACUUGGCCCUUCUCAAGUAGGCCUAUUAAAUUUUGAAGAGCGUUUUCCCAAAAAAACAGGCAUUGUAUAAUAAUUGGCAAUAGAAUAUAAUUCUCAUAGAGAAGUGGUGUUUAGGCAAGGAAAGACUAUUAAUAGAGAUACCAGGCUGAAUGGCCUUCAAAUUAAGACAUGUUUGCUCAAGAAAUAUUGGUUAGAGUAAUGCGUUAAAGCUUAGACCAGAUGGGAAUUUAGACAAACCACUAUGGACAAGCACUUGUACGAUGUGUUUUAUGUAAACCCAAAGAGCGUAAAGUAGAUACAAGAAUGUCAUAAGUGUUUACCCCAUAAGGGGUAGGUUUUCCUCCUGUGACACCUUUCAAACUUUUUAUGUAGUCUAUUUCUGUUGCUGAAUGGCCUUAGUUGCCCUAGUGCUUGGCAUAUGCCAAAAAUCUGUAUAAUUCAAAUUAAUCAUAGGUGUUUCCAGCUUAAGUGGGGGAGGACUCAUUUCACCUUGAGGGGAUAAUCACUCAUGAACCGUAGUGCCUGAGUGUCAUGGUUGGCAUGGUGUUUGCGUCCCACCUCAGUGGUCGCGGGGUUCGAUUCUCUGCCAUUCCAUUGAGGAGUGGGAGCUGUAUUUCUGGUGAUAAAAGUUCUCUCGACGUGGUUCGGAAGUCACGUAAAGCCGUUGGUCCCGUUGCUGAAUAAACACUGGUUCCAUGCAACGUAAAAGCACCAUACAACAACAACAUAUCCAUGUUAAUCAUAUAUAUAUUUUUUUUCAGAUAGGCGUUUGUGUUGGAGCCUUUUUAAUUUCCUUUAAAGGUGCAUUUUUAAGGCGUGUGGAAGAAAGUUUAAUAUGUACAGUCCAUCUUGGCCAGGUUGUGUGGAACUGCAUGUCAUCACCAGGUUUUGAGAUUGGAUGAGAUCACUGUGGCCAGCCCAUGCAGCAUCUUGUGCAAUGCAAUACAUUUGAGGUAAUACAUGGAAAUUGUCAUCACCAGGUUUUUAGAUCAGAUAAGAUCACUGUGGCCAGCCCAUGCAGCAUCUUGUGCAAUGCAAUACAUUUGAAGUAAUACAUGGAAAUUGUCAUCACCAGGUUUUUAGGUCAGAUAAGAUCACUGUGGCCUGGCUUUGCAGCAUCUUGUGCAAUGCAAUACAUUUGAAGUAAUACAUGGAAAUUGUCAUCACCAGGUUUUUAGGUCAGAUAAGAUCACUGUGGCCUAGCCAUGGAGCAUCUUGUGCAGUGCAAUGCAAUGCCUCAGGUGAUAGUUUCAGUGAAGGGACACAAUUCAAUAACCAAUCUUUGGUACUGGAUUUGAAGUCAAGUGGUGAGGGAAGGUCAAUGAUAUUGGUGGAUCCUGCAUAGAAACCACAAAAUUAGGAAGGACUGUUGUCAGAUAUCGGGUGCCGUGGUUUUAGAUAUUGGAAAUAUUGUGACGAAGGACGGUUGUCAGAUAUCGGGUGCCGUGGUUUUAGAUAUUGGAAAUAUUGUGACGAAGGACUGUUGUCAGAUAUCGGGUGCCGGCGUUUUUAGAUAUUGGAAAUAUUGUGACGAAGGAUGGUUGUCAGAUAUCGGGUGCCGUGGUUUUAGAUAUUGGAAAUAUUGUGACGACUCAUUCAGCCGAUUUGAAAACAAUGACCAGUGGUAAAUAAAUUGGCUGGUUAUUUUAACAAAUGUUGGGCGGAGAUGGUCGAUUGUUUCCGAAACCCAGAUAUCGGGAUCGUGAUAUGUUCGGGGUAAGUACUGGUAAGUAUACGUUUUGUUGUGAGAAAAUAUUUUGAUGUUAAAAGCGUAUUUUGGGACUGGGCUAUUGAAAGAAAUAAAAGAAUAUUUGUUCGAAGCCUGUUCAUAGUAAUUGUAUUUAUUGUAUAUGUGUAAAAGAAAGUAUUUUAUGCCUAUUUUUCACAUUUGGUUAGUCCGUAUGGAAGGAAAAGCAAAUAUUCUAUGUACAGUUGAUGUCACAGGUUGUCUUAUUUUAUUUUCCAAGAAUUAAUAAAGAUUCGGAUAAC